rnacentral:rRNA from 1 species
CCUACGGGAGGCAGCAGUGAGGAAUAUUGGUCAAUGGGCGUAAGCCUGAACCAGCCAAGUCGCGUGAGGGAUGAAGGUUCUAUGGAUCGUAAACCUCUUUUAUAAGGGAAUAAAGUGCGGGACGUGUCCCGUUUUGUAUGUACCUUAUUAAUAAGGAUCGGCUAACUCCGUGCCAGCAGCCGCGGUAAUACGGAGGAUCCGAGCGUUAUCCGGAUUUAUUGGGGUUAAAGGGUGCGGAGGGGGCCUUUUAAGUCAGCGGGGAAAGUUUGGGGCUCAACCAUAGAAUUGCCGUUGAAACUGGUGGGCUUGAGUAUGUGUGAGGCAGGCGGAAGGCGUGGUGUAGCGGUGAAAGGCUUAGAUAUCACGCAGAACUCCGAUUGCGAAGGCAGCCUGCCAAGGCAUGACUGACGCUGAUGCACGAAAGCGUGGGGAUCAAACAGGAUUAGAUACCCGAGUAGUC